AACAUAUGCUCAGCCACUUUGAGUUGUGUUCUUGGUCUGCUUAGAAUUGACCAGUACAACACGGCCUGGCCUCAGGGACCCCAGUUCUUGUGGGACCUGCCGGCUGUAGAUGAAUGGAACUCCUCAGCACCACGUCUCUCAGCCUCUUCUCUCUUUGUGACUGCUGCUCUCAUCCCCUGACACCUGGAUUCAUCCAACAGCCUCUUCCUUCAGAGGCUACCACGAUCCACUGCACACACAGCUGUGGGAAUGAAGCUACCCCAUGGUGGUAGCCUGGGUCACACAAGACCACGUGUAUCCACUUAAGCAUG
rnacentral:lncRNA from 1 species